UACGUAGGGUGCAAGCGUUGUCCGGAAUUAUUGGGCGUAAAGAGCUCGUAGGUGGCCUGUCGCGUCGGCUGUGAAAACUCGGGGCUCAACUCCGAGCUUGCAGUCGAUACGGGCAGGCUAGAGUUCGGCAGGGGAGACUGGAAUUCCUGGUGUAGCGAUGAAAUGCGCAGAUAUCAGGAGGAACACCGGUGGCGAAGGCGGGUCUCUGGGCCGAUACUGACACUGAGGAGCGAAAGCGUGGGGAGCGAACAGG
rnacentral:rRNA from 1 species